AGAGUUUGAUUAUGGCUCAGGAUGAACGCUAGCGGCAGGCUUAACACACGCAAGUCGAGGGGCAGCGGGAUGUAGCAAUACAUUGCCGGCGACCGGCGGAUGGGUGCGUAACGCGUAUGCAACCUACCUUAUACAGGGGAAUAACCUUUCGAAAGGGAGACUAACACCCCAUGGUAUUGAUUUAAGGCAUCUUAGAUUAAUUAAAUAUUUAUAGGUAUAAGAUGGGCAUGCGUAUGAUUAGCUAGUUGGUAAGGUAACGGCUUACCAAGGCGACGAUCAUUAGGGGUUCUGAGAGGAAGGUCCCCCACACUGGUACUGAGACACGGACCAGACUCCUACGGGAGGCAGCAGUGAGGAAUAUUGGUCAAUGGGCGCAAGCCUGAACCAGCCAUGCCGCGUGCCAGGAAGACGGCCUUAUGGGUUGUAAACUGCUUUUACAUAAGACUAACCGUAUAUUUGCGAAUAUACCUGAAUGUAUUAUGAGAAUAAGGAUCGGCUAACUCCGUGCCAGCAGCCGC
rnacentral:rRNA from 1 species